ACGAGUUCGGGUGUUGAGUGGUACUCGGUACUGGAGUAGCUGUGGGCUGCCAAAUGUUCUGCAGGCCAGCCUCCGGUCAUGGGGCUGGCACAGCGGGCUGCAGAGUGCUGACCCCUUUGAGCACGGCUGUAGCAGGGGAACGGCGAGAAACUAUCCCGGUGUUACUGAGUCUAAGACAGAGGAUAAAACUACAGGACCAACUUUGACCUGAAUGCCUCCUCCUACACCCCUACAGUAACAGCACAUACUUAUUAUUAAUUAUUCUUAUAAUUGCUCCUGAUAAAAGCAUUUAUUCUGCAUAUUACCUGGAUCAUGGAAGGAGAAUUACUUUGUUUACUGACAAAGUAAAAACCUCACUGAAACAACUUGUGUUUGUUUUGUGUCAGGUUACCUGUCAGCCAGUGGACUUUGGAACUAUGUUCACUGUCCAUUACUUAUGUAACUAUUAAUUUCUGCAACAUUUGAUAAAAUCUGUUCAUGCUUGCAUUUGUUUCCAUUUACUUUCUAUUAAAAGUGAACAUACUCAGUUCACUCUGACUCCAGAUAAACAGCCACUUUAUGCCUAGCAAACAAGCUUAGGAAAGGCACAA